GCACCAACACACCAAGCCUCGUGACACCUCCUUCCUCUCGAAGCAAAGCCGAGGACGUACGACGACGACUUCCCCACGGCCAGAGUUCCCCUCUUUCCCCUUCCCAAUCCUCCGAUCUCAUCCCCCGGCUCCGGCGACGCGGCGGGGCGAUGCGUAGCUGCUGAGCGCGCGGCGCCACGACCCCCCCCACCUCGAGAGCGCGGCCAUGGACGAGGGCUACGCCAACCUCCCCACCAGCCACCUCCUCGGCUCCGUCCCCGCCGCCUUGACCCCCGAAGAGAGGAAGCCCUCACCCGUCGCCGAAGUUGGCACCUCGCGUCUGCAGCAGUUUCCUCCUGCUCUUGGUGGUACUGGUGGUGUUGGUGGAGGAGGAGGAGGGUACCAGCCUCCAGGGACCCCUGCAGAUGGAGAUGUAGAAACUCAAACAAAUUGGAAAGGAUACUUCAAUGUUGCAUCUUAUGCUCCAUAUUUCAAUGUUGAUACUGAUGUUGUAGUUGACAGGCUCAUCAGCUCGGUUUAUCCAAUGGAUGGGUUUUUCAGGAAGAUUGAUGCUAAUCCUGACAUGUAUGGGCCCUUAUGGAUCACAACAACACUGAUAUUCAUGCUAGCUGCAUUUGGAAACUUUGCCACUUAUCUGAUGCAAAGGAAAACAGACCUGAACAUAUGGAGCUUUGAUGUUGGCUAUUUCAACUGGGCAGCAUCGGUCAUGUAUGGUUAUGCUGCCGCAGUGCCUGCUAUAUUCUUUUUCCUGUUUCAGUAUUUUGGAUCACGCCCAAGCCUUGUUCGGUUUUGGUGCAUGUGGGGAUACUCUCUGUUUAUCUUCAUCCCAGCAUCUCAUUUAGGCUUGCACCUCCUGCUCCUGCUCAAGAAGGCUGCUAUGUCUAAUGCAGGCACUAAUUUUCUUUGCUUCAGGUACUGUUACUUAUUCCUGUGGAAUUUCUUCGAUGGGUCAUCAUAAUCCUUGUUGGUGGUGCUUCAUCUUGGUUCAUCUCCUUAAACUUAAAGGAAUGUACUGAGGGAGCUGAUAUGAUGGUUUUGAUUGCUAGUGCUGCAGUGCUCCAGUUUACUCUGGCACUGUUCAUCAAAGUUUUCUUUUUCGCCUGAGAUUGUCUUUUGGUGUUGCUCAGGUGAGCUUGAUGUUUUGUCUGCUCCAAUCAUUCUGUUCUGGCGAGCAUCCUUUUGAGGACCAAGCGGAGUAGUUUUACUUGACAUACAUAUUGACACUAGAUUGAUAGACCUUUGUGUUUUGUGUUCAUGAGUUUUUUUUACUCCUUUAGUUCACAGAACUUCACUGUAUGUUUCAAUUCGGAAUUGCUGAGUUUGUCAUCUAAAAUUGCAUAGUGAACCUUCGACCAUUUUGAUCUACAAUAACCAUUUGACUAUAUUUUGACAAAUAGCGUGUUUCUGCU